AUGAGUUUGUCCUGAACAGAAAUUUUAUUUGGAUUCAGUUCGGUGAGCUCUUAAUUGUGUCCUACCCACAUCCCUCUGCAUCCCUCUGCAGGGUGCAAGAACUGUGCUAACGUGUGUUCUAAGGUCUUCCAAAUCGAGGAUGAUUUCGGACGGGCAAGAGUUUACGACCAAUCAGGCAGCACAGAACUGAUUCAAGAAGCUAUUGACAGUUGGUAUCAGUCUUGCUUGCUUGGAUCUUUUCAAACUGUGGAACUGAUUGAAACAUUUAUGAACUAUCAGGUACGGGGCAGAUAGAUAAGCUUGGUUUUUUAUCCAUCCUUUUCGCUGAUAUCAGAUACUUCCCGAGCCUAAAAAAACUACCAUCCCUUUCCAUUUUACAUUUUCCUCUACUAUGUUAUGUCAUGACUGCAUUAGUGGUUUAAUCUGUUACCUAAGUAUAAAAAUAGCAACCUGCCAAAUAGUCGAAUGGUUCAGGAAAGAAGACUUUAUGUUGAGUCCACGAGUGAUGCAUUUAUAUUUGCAAUGUUGUUUGUUUUAUCUGUCUCUAGGUUUCAAUUUUUUUUGGGUGGGGGUUCAAAUUAAUUGUGGUUUCACACAUUUUUCUAAUGCCAUGUUUGAACAGAUCUCAUGUAUAUUGGAUUUGUGUUCCAGCUCCAAAUACUUGUCAAGAACAGAAAUCACUGCAAUAAGUUGUGAGUAGUAAAAAAAGGGACAAUGC